rnacentral:misc_RNA from 1 species
AGUCGUAACAAGGUUUCCGUAGGUGAACCUGCGGAAGGAUCAUUACUGAUUUGCUUAAUUGCACCACAUGUGUUUUUCUUUGAAACAAACUUGCUUUGGCGGUGGGCCCAGCCUGCCGCCAGAGGUCUAAACUUACAACCAAUUUUUUAUCAACUUGUCACACCAGAUUAUUACUAAUAGUCAAAACUUUCAACAACGGAUCUCUUGGUUCUCGCAUCGAUGAAGAACGCAGCGAAAUGCGAUACGUAAUAUGAAUUGCAGAUAUUCGUGAAUCAUCGAAUCUUUGAACGCACAUUGCGCCCUCUGGUAUUCCGGAGGGCAUGCCUGUUUGAGCGUCGUUUCUCCCUCAAACCGCUGGGUUUGGUGUUGAGCAAUACGACUUGGGUUUGCUUGAAAGACGGUAGUGGUAAGGCGGGAUCGCUUUGACAAUGGCUUAGGUCUAACCAAAAACAUUGUUUGCGGCGGUAACGUCCACCACGUAUAUCUUCAAACUUUGACCUCAAAUCAGGUAGGACUACCCGCUGAACUUAAGCAUAUCAAUAG